CAGUCUUUUAAUGUUCUCGGAAAAACUUUUGGAUUGGAGAGAAAAACUGUAUAUGAAAAUUUGUAGUUUGUUUUAGGAUCAGAUGCAUAUAUGUUUGUAUUGUAUGUGACAAUAGACACAAUACAAUGCAUUGUUGAUCUUCAUAAACUUUGGUCUAUAACUUCUUGAGACAUGGUCAUAGCAGAUAAAUUUAGUAGGUUGGUCACACUUUUACUUCACUAACCCAAAGAUUAUAGUAAUUUCAACAGAUUGAUUGUCAUAUAACCAACAUUCCAAAAUUGUACCUAAACUCGUCUUCCCUUUAUAAAGGGUUUAUUGGCAAAGUAGACACUUUUUCAAAAAUAAUUUGCAAAGUAGGUAGUUUUUUUAGAAAUUAGAGAUAUAGACAUUUUUUUUGCUUUUUGUGAGAUAGAGGAUAUGUCUAAUAGACUAAAAAACAAAAUACAUAUCAAAUACUAUAAUACCUUUUAUCUUGAGAGAGAAUAAAAAUAAUAUGAGAGACCAUGUUUACUUUAUUUUAUUUGUCUUUAUCUUUUUAAUUUUUAUUUUAGUUUUCUUAAAUAAUUUUUAAAAAAAAUUACGUUGACUUUUAGAGUAUUUAUAUGUCAUCAAUUUAAUACACAAACAUUUCAAAGAUCGUUUUGUACACUAAACAUUAUUCAUUGGUGUACAAAUGUGUAUACCGAUAUUCAUAAAUAGAAGUAAUAUUGUUUUUAAUAUUUUACAAAUAUAAUGAUUGCAUAAACCAAAUAUUAUUACUUAAUAUAAUGGUGUACAUGAUGGUGUACAUGAUUAAGUUAAUCUUGAUGGUGUACAAAAUGAAUGAAACUAUUAUGACGAUUGAAUAGAAUGUGUAUAUAACUUUUAAAUGAUAGCAUACAAUAUUGGUAAACAAAGUGUACAAAACUUGGUGUACACUUACAGGGAAUGUAUAAAUUAUUAUUUCAGUUAGUGGUGUACGUCAUCUCGUACACCAAUUUUAGUACACUGUCUCAUAGAUCUUUAGAGGUGUACGAUCAUGUACACCAUAUUUUCAAUCAUCUAUGUACAUCAUUUUGUAUACUAUUAUACUCACUCUAUCACUUCUUACAAUAAUAUUAUAUAUUGAUUUUUACAUUAUUGUCGUACACUAAUAUUUGUACACCAGUAUUAAUAAUAUCACGUACACUGUCGGCUGGGAUUAAAUAAAAAAAUGCUACAUAUUUUUGAAAUAUAGCAAAAUUAGUCUUUUUAGAUUCACAUAAAAAAUUUAAAAGUCAAUAUGAUUAUAUGGUAAUUUUUUAUGAAGAAUUAUUAUCAAACAAAGUAAAAAUAUUAAGUAAAAAGAAAAAUAAGAAAAAGUAAAAUUUGACUUGAAUUUUGUCUUUAUCUUACUACAUAACAAAAUAACAAAAGGUUAUAUAAGUCAUUUCUAAAAUCUCUAUUAGACAAAAAGUUGUAUUAGAGAGAAAAGAGAAAAUUGUUUAUUUCUUUUAUUUCUAUAAAAACUACCUACUUUGCAAAUUAUUUGUUGAAAAAGUGUCUACUUUCCGACUUAUCUCUUCUAUAAAUAAACAGACAACACACAGAGAGACAUUCAACUUCAAGGGACGAUUUUCCUCUCAUAGCAACAAAACAAAUCACCUCAAAGAUAAAAACUUGGAACAUAAACCAACGAAAUGGCUCCGUCUAAUGAUCAUUUGCCUUUUUCUAGUCCUCACCUCCGCUUCAUUCUUCUAGAAUUCUUCACCUAAGAAAGCUUUCAGAGACGAGGAAAUAUGAAAUGUACCAUUUUAUACCGUCCUACUAAAUGUGUCUGUCUCUUACAGCAAGAGAUCCGUUCCGUAGAGAAAAGACUGGUGAGAGGUGGUACAGUUCAAAGGCUGAGAUUAAUCUACGAAGCCUGGAGCGCACGCUAGGUGCUCGACGAAAUGCCACACUGAGAGGUCAUCACGUGCCAUGCACAUGACCAUUUCUUUAUCUCCCUCUUGCUCAGCCAACAGUUGUAU
rnacentral:sRNA from 1 species